UGCGAACUCCUACGGGAGGCAGCAGUGGGGAAUAUUGCACAAUGGGCGCAAGCCUGAUGCAGCAACGCCGCGUGAGGGACGACGGCCUUCGGGUUGUAAACCUCUUUUAGCAAGGAAGAAGCGAAAGUGACGGUACUUGCAGAAAAAGCGCCGGCUAACUACGUGCCAGCAGCCGCGGUAAUACGUAGGGCGCAAGCGUUAUCCGGAAUUAUUGGGCGUAAAGAGCUCGUAGGCGGUUUGUCGCGUCUGCUGUGAAAACUGGGGGCUCAACCCCCAGCCUGCAGUGGGUACGGGCAGACUAGAGUGCGGUAGGGGAGAUUGGAAUUCCUGGUGUAGCGGUGGAAUGCGCAGAUAUCAGGAGGAACACCGAUGGCGAAGGCAGAUCUCUGGGCCGUAACUGACGCUGAGGAGCGAAAGGGUGGGGAGCAAACAGGAUUAGAAACCCCAGUAGUCCAGAUG
rnacentral:rRNA from 1 species